rnacentral:misc_RNA from 1 species
UGAGGGCUGAUUGGGCGCGUGGAGCCGAAAGCGAGGGUCGCGUGAAGGGCUAAAAAAGGAAUCCUGUACACCUGACUCAGCUGAGUGCAGCUCCUCUCUUUCGCUGGUGUUGGAAUCGGUGCACUCGGCAGAUGCCACGAACUCCUCCUCGGCUUUCAGGCCUGCUCCCGGUGAACGCGUGUAGGGGGAACGAGUGAAAGAAGCGAAGGGUCCGUGAGAAGGGCGCCGGGGUACGAGAAGCAGAAGCAGCAGCGGCAGACCUCGCUCGUCCUCCCUUUUCUUCGCUUUCCACCCUGACCCCUGCCACCCCCCCCCCACACACACGUGCGCGUGCCGCACUCUUUAUCCUACCCGACAUCCGCCAUGAACAUCGUCACCUCCUACUUUCUCGUUCGCAAGCUUCCAGGCGCCCUUGCCAUGGGCGGAGACGUUCGGGAGCAUCAGAACGCCCGCCAGCGCGAGUACAUGGAGUGCCUUCGGCUCAAUCAGCAACACCCCGGCGUCGCGUCCAUCCACCUCAUCGUCGAAGGGGUCGACGCCUACGAUCAUCUGCUGAAGCACGUUCUCUGCAACCCUCACUUCCAAAAUGCAUCGACGUUGACAACGUCCACGGCGCCGGCAGACGCACGACACCGCAGACGCCAUGCCGCUCCUAUCGUGCCUGUGGCACGCUUUGCCAGCGGCAUGCCCUUGUACGCCGACUUCUUCGCCUACGCCAACCAGCUCCUCUCGCACCGCCUCACGAUGGUGUGCAACGCGGAUGUGUAUCUCUCCCCCGAGCACUUUUCGCUGUCAGCGGUGGAGGACCUCUUUCGCCAAUCCAGCACUCUUCCUCCUCCCCACGCAGCGCCUUGCGGAGCGUGCCAGACGUCGACUACGGGCAUAGCGGAGGGGGAGGCGAUGCGGCCCAAGUCUGCGCCAAAGCGAGCGAACCCCUUGGCACUGGCGCUCACCCGCUACGAGAGCGACAGCCCUCUCGACGCCCCAUUCUUGUACGACUAUCGUGGCUCUCACGACGCCUUUGUGUUGGUGCCGCCGGUGCCGCCGUCGUUUGUGCGCAGUGUCGCCCAUCCGCAGAACUGCUACAAGGCAGAAAACAUCGUCUUGCACGAGCUUCAGCAAAGUGGGUACCUGACAUUGAACCCGACCUUGGGGGAUGGCGUGCGCCUUGUUCACCUCCACGCCACCGAUCUCCGGCAGUGGUUUCCGCCGGUGGACGAGUCACGGUACGGCCGCGCACAGCCGAGCACCUUGGCACAGGCGGCAUCGCGCAUCCGUGAAGAAGCACGCGUGCGAUCGCUGCCGCCGUCUGUGUAAGGGCUGGUCUUCUCUACAUGCUCUCUCUCGUUAUAUAUACUAUGUGUCGCCUGUGCGCGUGGCGUGGCCUCAACGGCCUCUCUUGCGACUUGUUUUCCCUGUCGGCUCCGCGUAUGCAGUUCGGCGCAGAUACUCAGUCUGCGUUCAACGCGCCAAGCAGCACUGCUCGCUCGUUGUCUCUCUCUCUCUGCAUUGUCGUUGGUGCCUCUUUGCCGGUGCGUGUUCUGACAUGAUGAAAAAAACAAUAGGCAUUGCCCCCGAUAGUCGCGUG